rnacentral:tRNA from 1 species
GGACCUUAGCUCAGUGGCAGAGCAUUUGCUUUGCAUGCAGAAAGUCCCAGGUUCAGUCCCUGACAUCUCCU